GACUCCUACGGGAGGCAGCAGUGGGGAAUAUUGGAUAAUGGGCGCAAGCCUGAUCCAGUAAUGCCGCGUGAGUGAUGAAGGCCUUCGGGUCGUAAAGCUCUUUUACCAGGGAUGAUAAUGACAGUACCUGGAGAAUAAGCCCCGGCUAACUUCGUGCCAGCAGCCGCGGUAAUA
rnacentral:rRNA from 1 species